rnacentral:rRNA from 1 species
GACGAACGCUGGCGGCGUGCUUAACACAUGCAAGUCGAACGGAAAGGCCCUGCUUUUGUGGGUGUUCGAGUGGCGAACGGGUGAGUAACACGUGAGUAACCUGCCCUUGACUUUGGGAUAACUUCAGGAAACUGGGGCUAAUACCGGAUAGGAGCUCCUGCUGCAUGGUGGGGGCUGGAAAGUCUCGGCGGUUGGAGAUGGACUCGCGGCUUAUCAGCUUGUUGGUGGGGUAGUGGCUUACCAAGGCUUUGACGGGUAGCCGGCCUUAGAGGGUGACCGGCCACAUUGGGACUGUGAUACGGCCCAAACGCCUACGGGAGGCAGCAGUCGGGGAUAUUGCACAAUGGGCGGAAGCCUGAUGCAGCAACGCCGCGUGCGGGAUGACGGCCUUCGGGUUGUAAACCGCUUUCGCCUGUGACGAAACGUGAGUGACGGUAAUAAGUAAAGAAGCACCGGCUAACUACGUG